rnacentral:rRNA from 1 species
CCAAUAGCGUAUAUUAAAGUUGUUGCAGUUAAAAAGCUCGUAGUUGAAUUUCGGGGUCAGUAGGUUGGUCGUGCCACUGGUAUGCACUGGCCUUACUGAUUCCUCCUUCUUGAAGAACUGUGAUGUCAUUUACUUGGUGUUGCAGGGAAACAGGACUGUUACUUUGAAAAAAUUAGAGUGUUUAAAGCAGGCUAACGCUUGAAUACAUUAGCAUGGAAUAAUGAAAUAGGACGUUUGAUCCUAUUUUGUUGGUUUCUAGGAUUGACGUAAUGAUUAAUAGGGAUAGUUGGGGCAUUAGUAUUCAAUUGUCAGAGGUGAAAUUCUUGGAUUUAUUGAAGACUAACUACUGCGAAAGCAUUUGCCAAGGAUGUUUUCAUUAAUCAAGAACGAAAGUUAGGGGAUCGAAGACGAUCAGAUACCGUCGUAGUCUUAACCAUAAACUAUGCCGACUAGGGAUCGGAUGAUGUUAAUUUUUUAAUGACUCAUUCGGCGCCUUACG